CUCUGAUCUGCUGAACCAGUUGCAGGUUUCUCAGGGCAUACACUCCAGAAAAGGUGACUCUGCCACUUCAAUUUCAGUGAUAAAGGAACCUGAGCCAUGUAGUGUCCUGGGAAGAACAGGACUUUGUGGUCAGAGUCUCAUGAGGUCAAAUCUCUGCUCCAUGGCUCUGGGAAACUUGUUUGAUCAUUCUGAGGUGGGGAAAUUGAGGCGCAGAGGGACUAGGAAACCUGCCCAAGGUCGCACAGUGAGUGCCUGGAGGUGUCAGGCAGGGGAGGAGGAGGCCAGUGAUGACCUUUCCCCUCGUGCCAGCCCUCAGAAGAGGUGGAAGUGCCUGCCGUAUGCCUUUGAUUUAUAGUGGAGCAGGGGUUUAGAUCCAGCUGUCAACUUGGGAAGCCACGUGAGGAUUCUAUUUUUAAAAAUGGCCUUGUAAUUAUAAUAGUGGGGUAAAAACCACCACCACCACCCAAGCAAACAGGAAAACAACCUGAAUGUCCAACAGUGGGGGAACCAGUUAAAUCAAUUAUGGUACAAACCCAUGAUGGCAUAUUUGGCAGUUAAGAAUCUCACAUUUUCAGAGACUCUUAGCAUGGGAUAAUGCCUCCAGAUAUAACUAAAAGCAGGAUAUAAAACUGCAUAACAACCUGAUCCCAAUCGAAAGGUAAUUUUGUAUAUGACUUCUUAUACAGAGAAAACGACUAGAAGAAAAUAGAAAGUUGAUGGUGGUUAUCUCCAGCAAAAUUAAAG
rnacentral:lncRNA from 1 species